UACGGGGGGGGCAAGCGUUGUUCGGAAUUACUGGGCGUAAAGGGCUCGUAGGCGGCCAACUAAGUCGGAUGUGAAAUCCCAGGCUUAACCUGGGAACUGCAUCCGAUACUGGAUGGCUUGAAUCCGGGAGAGGGAUGCAGAAUUCCAGGUGUAGCGGUGAAAUGCGUAGAUAUCUGGAGGAAUACCGGUGGCGAAGGCGGCAUCCUGGACCGGCAUUGACGCUGAGUGAGCGAAAGCUAGGGGAGCAAACGGG
rnacentral:rRNA from 1 species